GACUUUUUCGAGGGAAAGGAUCUGUGUAAGAGCAUCAACCCUGAUGAAGCUGUUGCUUUUGGUGCCGCUGUGCAGGCUGCGUUGCUGUGUGAAGGUAGUACUAAUGUUCCAAACUUGGUGUUGAUUGAUGUUGCACCAUUGUCUUUAGGUUGGAGGCUAAUUCAUGAUAGAAUGAGUGUAGUGAUUCCUCGGAAUACUAGUAUACCUGUCACGAAGACAGCAGUUUAUGUUACAACUGAAGAUAACCAAACCUAUGUCUUGAUCAGGGUUUAUGAGGGGGAGAGAACUAGAGCGAGUCAUAACAAUAUGCUUGGUUCUUUUUCUCUCUCUGGGUUGCCACCCGCACCUCGCAACUAUCCUUUUCAUGUGUCUUUUGGUAUUGAUGAAAAUGGCAUUUUGACGGUCUCUGCCAAGGAACUUUCCACUGGCAAUACAAAUGAGAUUACAAUAACCAAUUAUAAAGAAAGGCUAUCAACAGAAGAAAUUAAAAAAUUGAUUGAAGAAGCUGAGAAAUACCGUGCUGAAGAUAAGAAAUUCCUAGAGAUGGCUAGAGUAAAGAAUGCAUUGGAUGAUUGUGUUUACAAAAUUGAAAUUGCUUUAAAGAAGCAGAAUAUAAACUUAAAGCUUACCACACAAGAGCAUGCGGAAAUCAAAUCUGCAAUUAUAAGGGCCAAGGAUUUCCUUGAUGAGAAUGACCUGCACGAAAUAGAAAUUCUUGAAGAUCAUUUGAAGGAGCUCGAAAAUAUGUUUAAAAACACUAUAGCCAAGAUUAACUAGUUUUUUUUUUUCUCCAUUAAUAUUUUAAAUGUUUCUUGCUGUCUUGUACGCAAUGAAUGCAAAACCUUUACAUAAAGUUCUGUUAAUUUAGGUUUGAUAAAUUUUCUAUGGUUUAUAACUAGCCCAAAGUCCCAUGAAGAGAUCAAAUUUUUAGCAUGACAUUGAAGGUUACUCUUGUUUUCAAAU
rnacentral:lncRNA from 1 species